UCAGAACGAACGCUGGUAGCGUGGAUUAGGCAUGCAAGUCGAACGGGAUCGGGGGGUUAGCAAUAAUCUCCCGGUGAGAGUGGCGGGAUUGGGGAGGAACACGUGAGCAACCUGCCUUUGAGUCGGGGGAAAACCGUUGGAAACGACGGCUAAUACCGGAUGUGGCGCCCUGUGACAGUCACGGGAGCGCUAAAGGGGGCCGCAAGGCUCCCGCUCGGUAGAGGGGCUCGCGCACCAUCAGCUUGUUGGCGGGGUAACGGCCCACCAAGGCCUACGGUUAGCUGGUCUGAGAGGAUGACCAGCCCCACUGGGACUGAGAUACUGCCCAGACUCCUACGGGAGGCUGCAGUCGAGGAUCAUUUGCAAUGGGCGAAAGCCUGACAAUGCGACGCUGCGUGGAGGAUGAAGGCCUUCGGGUUGUAAACUCCUGUCAUGGGGGAACAGGCGAGGGGAGUCAACACCUCCCUUAGUUGAGUGUACCCCAAGAGGAAUUGGCGGCUAACUCUGUGCCAGCCGCGGC
rnacentral:rRNA from 1 species